CCUACGGGGGGCAGCAGUAAGGAAUAUUGGGCAAUGGCCGCAAGGCUGACCCAGCCAUGCCGCGUGCAGGAAGACGGCCUUAUGGGUUGUAAACUGCUUUUGUCAGGGAGUAAAUCCUUAUACUUGUAUAAGGUUGAAAGUACCUGAAGAAUAAGCAUCGGCUAACUCCGUGCCAGCAGCCGCGGUAAUACGGAGGAUGCGAGCGUUAUCCGGAUUCAUUGGGUUUAAAGGGUGCGCAGGCGGGCUAAUAAGUCAGGGGUGAAAUUCCACGGCUCAACUGUGGGGCUGCCUUUGAUACUGUUAGUCUUGAGUUUAGUUGAGGUGGGCGGAAUGUAGCAUGUAGCGGUGAAAUGCAUAGAUAUGCUACAGAACACCGAUAGCGAAGGCAGCUCACCAAGUUAUAACUGACGCUCAUGCACGAAAGCGUGGGGAUCAAACAGGAUUAGAUACCCCAGUAGUC
rnacentral:rRNA from 1 species